rnacentral:rRNA from 1 species
CCUACGGGAGGCAGCAGUGGGGAAUCUUGCGCAAUGGGGGCAACCCUGACGCAGCCAUGCCGCGUGAAUGAUGAAGGCCUUAGGGUUGUAAAGUUCUUUUGCCCGUGACGAUGAUGACGGUAACGGGAGAAUAAGCUCCGGCUAACUUCGUGCCAGCAGCCGCGGUAAUACGAAGGGGGCUAGCGUUGUUCGGAAUUACUGGGCGUAAAGCGCGCGCAGGCGGUUCGAUAAGUUAGGGGUGAAAUCCCUGGGCUCAACCCAGGAAUGGCCUUUAAGACUGUCGAGCUAGAGGACGAGAGAGGUGAGUGGAAUUCCCAGUGUAGAGGUGAAAUUCGUAGAUAUUGGGAAGAACACCGGUGGCGAAGGCGGCUCACUGGCUCGUUUCUGACGCUGAGGCGCGAAAGCGUGGGGAGCAGACAGGAUUAGAUACCCUGGUAGUCCACGCCCUAAACGAUGAGUGCCAGGUGUCGGGAAGCUUAGCUUCUCGGCGCCGCAGCUAACGCCUUAAGCACUCCGCCUGGGGAGUACGGCCGCAGGUUAAAACUCAAAUGAAUUGCGGCUGNGAGNGCGAGCGACGACGAGGAGAG